rnacentral:rRNA from 1 species
AACCAGCACCUCAAGUGGUCAGGAUGAUUAUUGGGCCUAAAGCAUCCGUAGCCUGUUUUGUAAGUCUUCGGUUAAAUCCAUCAACUCAAGUGAUGGGCUGCCGGAGAUACUGCAAAACUAGGGAAUGGGAGAGGUAGACGGUACUCGGUAGGAAGGGGUAAAAUCCUUUGAUCUAUUGAUGACCACCUGUGGCGAAGGCGGUCUACCAGAACAUGUUCGACGGUGAGGGAUGAAAGCGUGGGGAGCGAACAGG